CUUAAUAUGAAACCUUUUUCAUAAAUAUUGUGUAAUAGCACAAGUGUUUUUCCAUAAAAAUACAGAACAAGAGGAGACAAAACAAAUUAGAGAAAAACAUCUGGAAAAGAUGGCAGAGAAAAAUGUCACAGUCAGAGAUGCUGCCAAUGAAGAAGGAGCGUGGAGUGAUUGCGAGAAAUGUAAAAAACUGGCAGAAGAAAUCCAGAGGUUCCAGAAAGAAAUAGAGAAACUGAAAAUUAUUCUUCUGGAACCUCUGAUAAAAAAUAAGACUGUGCGGAAAAGCACCUUGGUAUCAGGAGCCACAAAGUAAAUUUUGCUGAAGGACAGUGUCAGAGUCCCCAAAGAAAUAUAUUCUUUUCUCUUCCUGUGCUUUGCUUGCCUUUAUAACCAUUCUUUGUGGCCUGCCAUUCUGUUGAGAGGGGGGAUGCUCUGGGAUGCCUUACACUGUCUUGCUGCUGUACCCUUUCCCCAGGAGAAGGAAUGCAUCUCCCUUAUCUGGGUGACGGUUGGUGCCUAGAACCAGAAGGAAACGAAAGUGAGAGAGACCUUGAAGAAGCGGGCCAACGGAGCCAGUUACCAAAACACUAUUCCACCUAUGGAUUGGCUGGAAUUCAAAUGGACACUGGGACUCUGAGGGGAGGAGUA